CGGGAAUCUGGGCGGGGCUGGGACCCUCACGGUCCUCACGGUCCUCACGGUGCCGUCCUGUGUUCCAGGUGUCCCACGGCCGUCCGUUGGCGCUGGCCUUCGUGGAGCUCACGGUGGUCCAGAGGUUCCACGAGCACGUGCACCAGCCUUGCGUGCCGCCCUCGCUGCGGGCCGUGCUGGGGCGGCUCAGUGCUCUGUACGCCCUGUGGUCCCUGAGCCGCCACACGGCCCUGCUCUACCGAGCGGAAAUCACAGCAAACGCAGAUCCCACCACAGAUGUGCUCCCGAACGCACAAGGCCACGGCCUUGGACCUCUUAGGGCCCUGCCAGAAACCACAGCGGCUGGAGGUGACACCAAGG
rnacentral:lncRNA from 1 species